rnacentral:lncRNA from 1 species
CGAUGCCCGUGUUCGUUGGGGAAGGCCUUCUCCACGACACGAUGUUUGUUAAUGAAGAUUGAUGAUGAAGAAUGCCCUUAUGCUAUUUAAGAAUUUGGAAAUGUUUAAUGAGCAAAGAAUAUGAAAGAAACUCAUGCCUCUUAUGCGAUAUUGUGAAAUUGUUAAUGAUGUUAUGUUAUAUGCUUGGCAACUGCCCACUAAGUACUCUUGUACUUAGCCCUUCGAUGUUUAUGUUUGUGCAGGUUGAGCUGUGAUGGGCGAUGAAGUGUUGUUGCUGAGUGGAG